GAGAGAGAGAGAGAGAGAACUCUGCUUUUCCUUGUGGAAUUAAUUUCUAACAUUUCUAAUCUAAUAGGAUAUUUUUUUAAUAGGAUAUAUCUAUUAAUAACAGAACUUUCUCCAUUAAUCUAGCCUUAUAAUAAAUUUGCUAAAAUUCUGGCCGCUUGAACUAUAGGCACCCAUAGCCAAAUUUCUAGCUGCACCUCUGGAGCAAGCAUGCAGUACUAACAUAUAAUACCAUGGCACACAGAUUAAUGUCCACAGUGCACACAACGAAAUCUACUCACACAGAGAAACACAAGUUAUGUACCCAAGUCCCUUCUAUUUGUGGUGUGAAGAAAGGAAAAAAAUUAAUGCACCAAAGACCAAGGCUAUCACAACCCAAAAAAAAAAAA
rnacentral:misc_RNA from 1 species